rnacentral:tRNA from 1 species
GCCGGUGUGGUGGAAUGGUAUACACGCACGACUUAAAAUCGUGUCCCGAAAGGGAUGUGGGUUCGAGUCCCACCACCGGCA